AUGCCUCGCGCUGCUAUUAAGUCCCAAGCGCUCGUGGAUUUCAUCAACGACUGGACAGAGUUGCAGGCACCAGAGGAUAAACCGGAUAACACAUACUGGACUACUCACUUCGAUGGAUCCAGACAAUUGAAGGGCUCGGGGGCUGGAGUGGUUCUUACUUCCCCUCGAGGUGACAAAUUUUGUUAUGUUCUCCGCUUAAUGUUUCCCUGUACUAACAAUGCAGCUGAGUAUGAAGCCUUGCUCCACGGUCUUCGGAUGGCUAAGGAGAUGAAUUUAAUCCGGGUACGUUGCUUUGGCGACUCGGAUUUAGUGGCUCAGUAG
rnacentral:rRNA from 1 species